rnacentral:rRNA from 1 species
UACGAAGGGGGCAAGCGUUGUUCGGAAUUACUGGGCGUAAAGGGCGCGUAGGCGGCCGAUCAAGUCAGGCGUGAAAUUCCCGGGCUCAACCUGGGGGCUGCGCUUGAUACUGAUUGGCUUGAAUGCGGGAGAGGAUAGUGGAAUUCCCAGUGUAGAGGUGAAAUUCGUAGAUAUUGGGAAGAACACCGGUGGCGAAGGCGGCUAUCUGGCCCGUAAUUGACGCUGAGGCGCGAAACGUGGGGAGCAAACAGGG